rfam:Oryza brachyantha chromosome 11, whole genome shotgun sequence.
AAUAAUCUCAUUUUUCGUUUUUUCGUGUCCAACAUUUGACCAUUCGUCUUAUUUGAAAUUUUAUAAAAAACUUAAAAAAAUAAUCAUGUAUAAAAUACUAUUUAUAUUUUAUCAUCUAGUAAUAAUAAAAAUUUCAAAUAAGACGAAUAGUCAAACAUUGGACAUGAAAAA